UAUAAUUCAAAUUCUAUAACGAACAUGAGAAAUUGUUGUAACUCGCCGACUGCAGCUGAUGUGAUUUAGUCAUACCUUACGUACAGUGAUCGUAAUGAAAAAAUUUUUGCUCUAUCGUCAAAUGUUUUUCUUCGCGUCAGUGAAAAGUAAAUAGAUAAAUAAGAAGAAGAAUAAGAAGAAGAAAAAACAGACUUAUUCUUUAGAUUAUUCAAGUUCGUUUUUGUACCAACACAGUGAACCUGCGCGACAUGUAAACGCAUACAUGUACGCAAGUUUCCCUGCAGUGACAAUAAUCAUUUAUCUCUCAAAAGUGAAUCUCGUCUUUCGCGUUAAACUGGUAAACAAACCAUGGACUUAUGCACCGAAUUGUACACAUAAUAUGUAUCAUAUUCACGGGAUGAAAAAUUGUUCAUCAAAAUAAGUGUAAAAGGAAAAGAAAUCAAGAAGAAGAAAAAAAAAAAAAUUACAACUAAAUUACGAGCAAAAGAAAUUAAAUUUCACGCAGCACGAAGUCGUCGUACAAGCCCUUCGUAACUAAUAUUACACACGUACAUAACCGCAGUGGUGUUCGAAAGCAGUGGAACAAGGAGUUAAUCGCCGUCCGACGGGAGAAGUAAAUUGAGACCCGGAGGCUUCGAAAGGCCCGAAGAUUCUGCCUUCCCAGCAGCUGGGGGCUGCGGUCGCUCCAUGGCCGGGCGCCACCGGCCUCCUAGCCUCGGUGACAGCUGACGACAUGGCUCACAAAGGACACAGCGGGGUCAACCAGCUAGGAGGAGUCUUUGUCGGAGGUCGACCUCUACCGGACUCAACGAGGCAAAAGAUUGUCGAAUUGGCGCAUUCGGGUGCGAGGCCGUGUGACAUCUCGCGGAUACUUCAAGUGAGCAACGGAUGCGUCUCAAAGAUCCUUGGCAGGUACUAUGAGACGGGCUCGAUAAGACCGCGUGCAAUCGGCGGUAGUAAACCGCGAGUGGCCACCGCUGAAGUUGUCAGCAAGAUUUCCCUCUACAAGCGGGAGUGUCCCUCGAUUUUCGCGUGGGAAAUCAGGGACCGUUUGCUCCAGGAAGGCGUCUGUACCAACGACAAUAUACCCAGCGUAUCGUCUAUCAACAGAGUGCUGAGGAACCUCGCUGCCCAGAAGGAACAGACCCAGCAACACCAGCAGCAGCAGCAGAGCGUCGGCGUCGGCGUUGGCGUGGGAGCCGGAAGUCCCGCCGAAAGCGUCUACGACAAGCUCAGGCUACUAAACGGCCAGGCGACCGGCUGGCCGAGACCUAAUCCUUGGUACCCUUCCGGUCCCGGGAGUCCGUUUCCGUCCUUGCAGCCGAGCCUGAGUCCAAGUCACUGUUCAGCGCUGCCGCCAGACACGGCGGACAUUCUGCACGCGAAAAAGGUGGCGGAAUUGGAGGGCGGUGCUCACUCGGACGAGACAAACAGCGGCGGAGACAACAGCAACGCCGGUAGCAUCUCGGGGGGUGGAGAGGACGACCAGGCCCGUCUUCGGCUGAAGAGGAAGCUCCAGAGGAAUCGGACGAGCUUCAGCAACGAGCAGAUCGACGCCCUCGAGAAGGAAUUCGAGCGAACUCACUACCCGGACGUCUUCGCCAGGGAACGACUCGCGGCGAAAAUCGGCCUGCCCGAGGCUCGCAUCCAGGUGUGGUUUUCCAAUCGACGGGCAAAGUGGAGGCGCGAGGAGAAGCUGCGCACUCAGCGGAGGGACAACCCGCAGCAGUCCCACACCGGAGGCGUCGGUCUGGUCAGUGGUCACCCGACGCCCCCGCCGCCCCCGCCACCUCACGCACCUCCCUCGCCGCCCAGGAUCCAUCACGGAUUCGCACCGACCGGCGUAUAUCCGGGGAUUCCCAGCAUGCCGGAUUCCUACAGCCCCAUGACGUCGAUGCCGAGUUUCGCGAUGUCCUCGCCGAGUCAGCAGAGCCAGCACACGGGCCCCGGGAUGACCGGCGGCGGCGGAAUGGGCCCGAUGGGCAUGAGCGUCGGGAUGACGGUGGGCCCGAGUCCCGGGGCCUGUCUUCAGCAACGGGACAACGGUUACUCCUGCGGCGUUGCACGUCCGCCAAGCUACGAGCCCCUUCACCUGGGCUACGGGGCGAGGCCGACCUGCAGCCCUACGCAGCCCUAUCACACCGCGGGCCUGAAUCAGUACAACCAGAAUACCAGCUCGACCGGUGAGUGUCUACCACACUCGCUGCACUCCCUUCAUUCGCUGCUCGCUCUCUAGCCACAGGAGAGCUGGAUCUACCACGGAUCCGUCGGGACGUACUAUUGAGCGGUCUGAUCUCGCCUGGAGUUAGCGUGCCGAUCGCGGUACCGGGUCAGCCGGCACCGGAUAUGACCGCCCAGUACUGGUCUCCGAGACUUCAGUGACCGUGGUGGGCUUCGACGUCGACUUCCGGCCCUUAGGC
rnacentral:misc_RNA from 1 species